rnacentral:rRNA from 1 species
GGGUUGUGAGGUUAAGCGACUAAGCGUACACGGUGGAUGCCCUGGCAGUCAGAGGCGAUGAAGGACGUGCUAAUCUGCGAUAAGCGUCGGUAAGGUGAUAUGAACCGUUAUAACCGGCGAUUUCCGAAUGGGGAAACCCAGUGUGAUUCGUCACACUAUCAUUAACUGAAUCCAUAGGUUAAUGAGGCGAACCGGGGGAACUGAAACAUCUAAGUACCCCGAGGAAAAGAAAUCAACCGAGAUUCCCCCAGUAGCGGCGAGCGAACGGGGAGSAGCCCAGAGCCUGAAUCAGUGUGUGUGUUAGUGGAAGCGUCUGGAAAGGCGCGCGAUACAGGGUGACAGCCCCGUACACAAAAAUGCACAURYUGUGAGCUCGAUGAGUAGGGCGGGACACGUGGUAUCCUGUCUGAAUAUGGGGGGACCAUCCUCCAAGGCUAAAUACUCCUGACUGACCGAUAGUGAACCAGUACCGUGAGGGAAAGGCGAAAAGAACCCCGGCGAGGGGAGUGAAAAAGAACCUGAAACCGUGUACGUACAAGCAGUGGGAGCACGCUUAGGCGUGUGACUGCGUACCUUUUGUAUAAUGGGUCAGCGACUUAUAUUCUGUAGCAAGGUUAACCGAAUAGGGGAGCCGAAGGGAAACCGAGUCUUAACUGGGCGUUAAGUUGCAGGGUAUAGACCCGAAACCCGGUGAUCUAGCCAUGGGCAGGUUGAAGGUUGGGUAACACUAACUGGAGGACCGAACCGACUAAUGUUGAAAAAUUAGCGGAUGACUUGUGGCUGGGGGUGAAAGGCCAAUCAAACCGGGAGAUAGCUGGUUCUCCCCGAAAGCUAUUUAGGUAGCGCCUCGUGAAYUCAUCUCCGGGGGUAGAGCACUGUUUCGGCAAGGGGGUCAUCCCGACUUACCAACCCGAUGCAAACUGCGAAUACCGGAGAAUGUUAUCACGGGAGACACACGGCGGGUGCUAACGUCCGUCGUGAAGAGGGAAACAACCCAGACCGCCAGCUAAGGUCCCAAAGUCAUGGUUAAGUGGGAAACGAUGUGGGAAGGCCCAGACAGCCAGGAUGUUGGCUUAGAAGCAGCCAUCAUUUAAAGAAAGCGUAAUAGCUCACUGGUCGAGUCGGCCUGCGCGGAAGAUGUAACGGGGCUAAACCAUGCACCGAAGCUGCGGCAGCGACGCUUAUGCGUUGUUGGGUAGGGGAGCGUUCUGUAAGCCUGUGAAGGUGUGCUGUGAGGCAUGCUGGAGGUAUCAGAAGUGCGAAUGCUGACAUAAGUAACGAUAAAGCGGGUGAAAAGCCCGCUCGCCGGAAGACCAAGGGUUCCUGUCCAACGUUAAUCGGGGCAGGGUGAGUCGACCCCUAAGGCGAGGCCGAAAGGCGUAGUCGAUGGGAAACAGGUUAAUAUUCCUGUACUUGGUGUUACUGCGAAGGGGGGACGGAGAAGGCUAUGUUGGCCGGGCGACGGUUGUCCCGGUUUAAGCGUGUAGGCUGGUUUUCCAGGCAAAUCCGGAAAAUCAAGGCUGAGGCGUGAUGACGAGGCACUACGGUGCUGAAGCAACAAAUGCCCUGCUUCCAGGAAAAGCCUCUAAGCAUCAGGUAACAUCAAAUCGUACCCCAAACCGACACAGGUGGUCAGGUAGAGAAUACCAAGGCGCUUGAGAGAACUCGGGUGAAGGAACUAGGCAAAAUGGUGCCGUAACUUCGGGAGAAGGCACGCUGAUAUGUAGGUGAAGUCCCUCGCGGAUGGAGCUGAAAUCAGUCGAAGAUACCAGCUGGCUGCAACUGUUUAUUAAAAACACAGCACUGUGCAAACACGAAAGUGGACGUAUACGGUGUGACGCCUGCCCGGUGCCGGAAGGUUAAUUGAUGGGGUYAGCGCAAGCGAAGCUCUUGAUCGAAGCCCCGGUAAACGGCGGCCGUAACUAUAACGGUCCUAAGGUAGCGAAAUUCCUUGUCGGGUAAGUUCCGACCUGCACGAAUGGCGUAAUGAUGGCCAGGCUGUCUCCACCCGAGACUCAGUGAAAUUGAACUCGCUGUGAAGAUGCAGUGUACCCGCGGCAAGACGGAAAGACCCCGUGAACCUUUACUAUAGCUUGACACUGAACAUUGAGCCUUGAUGUGUAGGAUAGGUGGGAGGCUUAGAAGUGUGGACGCCAGUCUGCAUGGAGCCGACCUUGAAAUACCACCCUUUAAUGUUUGAUGUUCUAACGUUGACCCGUAAUCCGGGUUGCGGACAGUGUCUGGUGGGUAGUUUGACUGGGGCGGUCUCCUCCUAAAGAGUAACGGAGGAGCACGAAGGUUGGCUAAUCCUGGUCGGACAUCAGGAGGUUAGUGCAAUGGCAUAAGCCAGCUUGACUGCGAGCGUGACGGCGCGAGCAGGUGCGAAAGCAGGUCAUAGUGAUCCGGUGGUUCUGAAUGGAAGGGCCAUCGCUCAACGGAUAAAAGGUACUCCGGGGAUAACAGGCUGAUACCGCCCAAGAGUUCAUAUCGACGGCGGUGUUUGGCACCUCGAUGUCGGCUCAUCACAUCCUGGGGCUGAAGUAGGUCCCAAGGGUAUGGCUGUUCGCCAUUUAAAGUGGUACGCGAGCUGGGUUUAGAACGUCGUGAGACAGUUCGGUCCCUAUCUGCCGUGGGCGCUGGAGAACUGAGGGGGGCUGCUCCUAGUACGAGAGGACCGGAGUGGACGCAUCACUGGUGUUCGGGUUGUCAUGCCAAUGGCACUGCCCGGUAGCUAAAUGCGGAAGAGAUAAGUGCUGAAAGCAUCUAAGCACGAAACUUGCCCCGAGAUGAGUUCUCCCUGACCCUUUAAGGGUCCUGAAGGAACGUUGAAGACGACGACGUUGAUAGGCCGGGUGUGUAAGCGCAGCGAUGCGUUGAGCUAACCGGUACUAAUGAACCGUGAGGCUUAACCUUACAACGCCGAAGSUGUU